rnacentral:rRNA from 1 species
UACGUAGGGUGCGAGCGUUGUCCGGAAUUAUUGGGCGUAAAGAGCUCGUAGGCGGUUUGUCGCGUCUGCUGUGAAAACCCGAGGCUCAACCUCGGGCCUGCAGUGGGUACGGGCAGACUAGAGUGCGGUAGGGGAGAUUGGAAUUCCUGGUGUAGCGGUGGAAUGCGCAGAUAUCAGGAGGAACACCGAUGGCGAAGGCAGAUCUCUGGGCCGUAACUGACGCUGAGGAGCGAAAGCGUGGGUAGCGAACAGG